rnacentral:rRNA from 1 species
UACGUAGGGUGCAAGCGUUGUCCGGAAUUAUUGGGCGUAAAGAGCUCGUAGGCGGUUCGUCGCGUCGGCUGUGAAAACCCGGAGCUCAACUCCGGGCCUGCAGUCGAUACGGGCGGACUUGAGUGUUGCAGGGGAGACUGGAAUUCCUGGUGUAGCGGUGAAAUGCGCAGAUAUCAGGAGGAACACCGAUGGCGAAGGCAGGUCUCUGGGCAUUAACUGACGCUGAGGAGCGAAAGCAUGGGGAGCGAACAGG